UCAAGUAAGGCAGUAAUAAAACCAACGUCCAUCUGUAUGCGAUCAAUCCGAUACACUCCAUAGAAUCCAAGAUAUCGCAAAUAAUCUACCACUCUAAGUGGGAUAUGCUCUAUCCUCCAGAAGUCAGCAUCGGAUCAUCGUAGUCUAAGGUAUCUGGGCUCCUGCAAUAAGAUAUAAUAAUUAAAUAAUGUAUAUGAUUUUAAAAAAAUAUUAAUAAUAAUAAUAAGAUUGGAAUGUUUACGCCGCCAUCCAAAAUAGUCUGUGAUCG
rnacentral:lncRNA from 1 species